rnacentral:rRNA from 1 species
CAAAAACAUUGCCUCGCGAAUAUAUAUGUGAGGUAAAUUCUGCCCAGUGAAUUAUCUUCAACGGCCGCGGUAUCCUGACCGUGCAAAGGUAGCAUAAUCAUUUGCCUCUUAAUUAGAGGCUAGUAUGAAUGAAUAAACAAAAAUUUUCUGUCUCCUUAUAAAAAUUACAAAUUUACUUUCAGGUGAAGAGGCCUGAAUUAUAAUAAAAGACAAGAAGACCCUAUCAAGCUUUAAUUUAAUAAUAAUAAUAAAAAACUAAUUAAUUAUAAAUUUGAUUGGGGCAAUCAAAAAUAAUUCUUAUCAUUUUUUUCCUUAAGAUAAAUUAAUCUAUAUAUAAAUCUUUCAUAUAAACAUAAGAAAGCUACUGUAGGGAUAACAGGCUAAUACUUUUCAAGAGUCCUUAUCAACAAAAGUGAUUGGCACCUCGAUGUUGGCUUAGGAAACCUAAUUCAUGCAGAAGUGAUUUAAGGUGGUUUGUUCAACCAUUAAUUUCCUACAUGAUCUGA